CCUACGGGAGGCAGCAGUGAGGAAUAUUGGUCAAUGGACGAGAGUCUGAACCAGCCAAGUAGCGUGAAGGAUGACUGCCCUAUGGGUUGUAAACUUCUUUUAUAUGGGAAUAAAAUGUUCCACGUGUGGGUUUUUGUAUGUACCAUAUGAAUAAGGAUCGGCUAACUCCGUGCCAGCAGCCGCGGUAAUACGGAGGAUCCGAGCGUUAUCCGGAUUUAUUGGGUUUAAAGGGAGCGUAGAUGGAUUGUUAAGUCAGUUGUGAAAGUUUGCGGCUCAACCGUAAAAUUGCAGUUGAAACUGGCAGUCUUGAGUACAGUAGAGGUGGGCGGAAUUCGUGGUGUAGCGGUGAAAUGCUUAGAUAUCACGAAGAACUCCGAUUGCGAAGGCAGCUCACUGGACUGCAACUGACACUGAGGCUCGAAAGUGUGGGUAUCAAACAGGAUUAGAUACCCCUGUAGUC
rnacentral:rRNA from 1 species